rnacentral:rRNA from 1 species
AGGACGAACGCUGGCGGCGUGCCUAACACAUGCAAGUCGAGCGAUGAAGUUCCUCGGAACGGAUUAGCGGCGGACGGGUGAGUAACACGUGGGUAACCUGCCUUGUAGAGGGGGAUAGCCUUCCGAAAGGAAGAUUAAUACCGCAUAACAUCUUUUUUAUCGCAUGGUAGAAAGAUCAAAGGAGCAAUCCGCUACAAGAUGGACCCGCGGCGCAUUAGCUAGUUGGUGAGGUAACGGCUCACCAAGGCGACGAUGCGUAGCCGACCUGAGAGGGUGAUCGGCCACAUUGGAACUGAGACACGGUCCAGACUCCUACGGGAGGCAGCAGUGGGGAAUAUUGCGCAAUGGGGGGAAAAACCCCUGACGCAGCAACGCCGCGUGAAUGAAGAAGGCCUUAGGGUUGUAAAGUUCUGUUUACGGGGACGAUAAUGACGGUACCCGUGGAGGAAGCCACGGCUAACUACGUGCCAGCAGCCGC